rnacentral:hammerhead_ribozyme from 1 species
GUACUGCUGAAGAGUCCAGAGUAGGGACGAAACGGUUGUCCAAUAC